UACAGAGGUCUCAAGCGUUGUUCGGAUUCAUUGGGCGUAAAGGGUGCGUAGGCGGCGCGGUAAGUCGGGGUGUGAAAUUCGACGGCUUAACUCCGAAACUGCAUUCGAUACUGCCGUGCUUGAGGACUGGAGAGGAGACUGGAAUUUACGGUGUAGCGGUGAAAUGCGUAGAUAUCGUAAGGAAGACCAGUGGCGAAGGCGGGUCUCUGGACAGUUCCUGACGCUGAGGCACGAAGGUCAGGGGAGCAAACGGG
rnacentral:rRNA from 1 species